rnacentral:lncRNA from 1 species
CAGACAGGUAGCCCUCUGGCUCACUGGCUCCAGUCUCUGUCAGCAGUAGGAAUAGGUAUGCAAAGAGGGAGGAAGGGUUCUGUUCUCUACAUGAGAGCUCCAGCACAGAGGCCACUCUGCCAGUGGGAGGGGAUUUCACUCUUGGCUUGCAGAGCUGAGCACAGAGAUUGAGCCACUGCUUGGGGGCAGAGUCAGAGCCCUAGGGUCAUGGGCUCUGGAAAGUACACACUUUGCUUUCCUUUGUCCUGGAGUCGGGGAGGGGAUGCCUUCUGGUGCACUGCACACCCUAUUCCCCAAGAUGUAGUACUUCCUAUGAGCUAAAGUACUGGGGACUCUGCAGCACCUUUGGGACCAGCCAAUGCUGUUCUGCCAAAGCCCUCUGUGUGGACACUGGGGAAUGUCAUCAGGAGCUCCUGAGAUGUGGAGAUAUGAGGGCUGUUGUUCCCAGCGCAGGAUGCAGUACCAUGAUGCUGUGCUACCAAAAGGCUCUGUACAGCAGCUGUUCAGGUCUUGGAGAGGCAACUCUUGGGAUUUGUAAAAGCUGAUAAGAGGAGAGAUUCUUCCAACACAACUGGGACUAAAUCUGCAGAUGGCACACCAAGCAGAGCCAAACCCACUCCCACCCUUCUGUUGUAUAGGGCUGAUGUUCCUGGCUUUCCUUCAGGUACCAGAUGGAAAACACUCUCGAGCAACCCUCCUUGGUGACUCACUGGCUCAUUAUCCUACAACCAGCUCAAGUAUUUAUACACAUUGUCAUUUGAUCUGGUGAAUUCUUCAGAACAUUUGGACUUGAUUGGUCAUUUUAUUGACCCCAUUAUUGACUAUCAUGUGUGGUAUUUAACUGAAGAGGUAUUUUUGAACACUCACAUAUACUUUUCCUACAUAAAGGCAAGCAUUUGUCCAAGGCAGCCAGUCAUAGGUAAGGUAGUAAAGACUUUUGCUUCUAUUCUCUCUAGAGUUCUUGCAAUAAGCAGUCCCUUAAUGAAGCCAGAUGCAUCCACUUGUACUUGGCUACAGCAUGAUCAGUGAAAAUGACUCAGAGCUGUAAUUUUAAUAUGCCAAUUAUUUUCUAAAGAAAAAUAUAGGACUGCUUUAUAUACAAAAAGUCAUUUGUGUCUAUUUCACACAUUGUAAGUUCUUUGCACUGGGUUUGAAUGUUUACUCUAGAAUAAAGCCAUCAUAUUUAUAAGGUUUAGUGUUGCUGUAAAAUUUCUGGCUCCAAAAAUAUUUGUAAAGUCUUUGUCAUAAAUCAUUUUUAACUUUGUAAAUUUGUCAAUUGUAUAACAUAUGUCAGGUAAACUGCACAUGACCAGACAGUUUUAUGAACAUAAGCUGAGGCCAGCCUAUUGUAUCAUGCCAGCUUAUGCACAGGUUGGCAGUAGACACCUUCAUAAAGAAAGAGAUAAAUCUGAUUCAAGCUUUAAAAUAGAUUACUCAUUUAUUGGCCCCUUUUACUACCAUUUAUAAGCUCACAAUUUUUGAAAUAAAAGGGAAUCAAUCUGUCAUUUAAAACUACAUGUUUUAUUUAUUUAUUUAAAAUAUCAUUUCUUAGGUUUUGGGAAAAGUUUCUAAGUAAAAAUCACUCAAAAAUCCACCCUUCUAAAGAUAACACUGAUAGCAUUUUUAUUUUUCUUAUGGUUUAGUAGUAAGAAUUGGACGUGGAAUCAUUGUGUUAGGGGAGGGUAAUGUAUUUGCUUAAGAAUAAACAUAAAAUAUAACUGGUAGAUUGAAUUGGGUUUAGGUAUGUUUCAAUAUGCUCUAAAUGUGGUGCAACUAGAAAUGAUAUGCGUCAAGAAAAGGACACACUGGGAGGAACAGACUGGCA